AGAACGAACGCUGGCGGCAGGCUUAACACAUGCAAGUCGAACGCGUGUAGCAAUACACGAGUGGCGCACGGGUGAGUAACGCGUGGAUAUCUGCCUUUUGGUUCGGAAUAACCCCGGGAAACUGGGGCUAAUACCGGAUGGUUCCUUCGGGAUAAAGAUUUAUCGCCAAAAGAUGAGUCCGCGUACGAUUAGCUAGUUGGUGAGGUAAUGGCUCACCAAGGCGACGAUCGUUAGCUGGUCUGAGAGGACGAUCAGCCACACUGGGACUGAGACACGGCCCAGACUCCUACGGGAGGCAGCAGUGGGGAAUAUUGGACAAUGGGGGCAACCCUGAUCCAGCCAUGCCGCGUGAGUGAUGAAGGCCUUCGGGUUGUAAAGCUCUUUUGGCGGGACGAUGAUGACGGUACCGCAGAAUAAGCCCCGGCUAACUUCGUGCCAGCAGCCGC
rnacentral:rRNA from 1 species